UACGUAGGGUGCGAGCGUUAAUCGGAAUUACUGGGCGUAAAGCGUGCGCAGGCGGUUCGUUAAGACAGAUGUGAAAUCCCCGGGCUUAACCUGGGAACUGCAUUUGUGACUGGCGAGCUAGAGUAUGGCAGAGGGGGGGUAGAAUUCCACGUGUAGCAGUGAAAUGCGUAGAGAUGUGGAGGAAUACCGAUGGCGAAGGCAGCCCCCUGGGCCAAUACUGACGCUCAUGCACGAAAGCGUGGGGAGCAAACAGG
rnacentral:rRNA from 1 species